GGUUAAGUCCCGCAACGAGCGCAACCCCUAUCCUUAGUUGCCAGCACGUAAUGGCGGGGACUCUAAGGAGACUGCCGGUGACAAACCGGAGGAAGGUGGGGAUGACGUCAAGUCAUCAUGGCCCUUAUGGGCUGGGCUACACACGUGCUACAAUGGUCGGUACAGAGGGCUGCAAACUCGCGAGAGUAAGCGAAUCCCUUAAAGCCGGUCGUAGUCCGGAUUGGAGUCUGCAACUCGACUCCANGAAGUCGGAAUCGCUAGUAAUCGCGAAUCAGCAUUGUCGCGGUGAAUACGUUCCCGGGCCUUGUACACACCGCCCGUCUC
rnacentral:rRNA from 1 species